ACUCCUACGGGAGGCAGCAGUGGGGAAUAUUGCACAAUGGGGGAAACCCUGAUGCAGCCAUGCCGCGUGUGUGAAGAAGGCCUUCGGUUGUAAAGCACUUCAGUAGGGAGGAAGGUAGUGUAGUUAACACCUGCAUUAUUUGACGUUACCUACAGAAGAAGCACCGGCUAACUCCGUGCCAGCAGCCGCGGUAAUACGGAGGGGUGCGAGCGUUAAUCGGAAUUACUGGGCGUAAAAGCGCAUGCAGGCGGCCUGUUAAGUCAGAUGUGAAAAGCCCGGGGGCUUAACCUCGGAAAUUGCAUUUGAAACUGGCAGGCUAGAGUCUUGUAGAGGGGGUAGGAAUUUCAGGUGUAGCGGUGAAAUGCGUAGAGAUCUGAAGGAAUACCAGUGGCGAAGGCGGCCCCCUGGACCAAAGAACU
rnacentral:rRNA from 1 species